CCUGAUCUCAGUAAAAUGUCUGGAGCAUGAUCACACAGUUCUUAUGUCAGCCCCUGAGCUUUGCCCUACCAGCAUCUCUUGUAAUAACAACUUUGCCACAAAUUCUGAGAUGACUGAGCAAGAAUAUAUUGCCCCUGGUCUGGCUUUGAUUCAUGUACAGAGAUGUACACAAGUGACAGGACUAACGAAGAUCAGUUUCUAUAUUAGACCUUCUGUCUUCUGAUACCAGCCCACCAGUGUUCUGUUUCCUUUGUCUAUGCUUGUAUUAAGUGCCAUGUGUAGGCUGGGUUCAAGAAGCUGCUUUCCUUAUCAUAACAGUUUCAAACUUCAUUACUUUUGCCACCCCUCUU
rnacentral:lncRNA from 1 species